GCACCUGUAGCUCAGUGGCUAGAGCACCAGCCACGUACACUGGAGCUAGAUGGUUCAAAUCCAGCCUGGGCCU
rnacentral:tRNA from 1 species